rnacentral:pre_miRNA from 1 species
AGGAGGAACAGCCCCAGUGGCGGGGCAGCUCUGGAAACCUGGAUUCAGCUCCGGCAGGAACUCCGGAGCUCUCUGUCUGCAGGGCCUGGAGGCUCCGGGCGGGG